rnacentral:lncRNA from 1 species
CCUAUACUCACUUUUUUUUCUGAUGUCAGAAACCAUGCCUCACCGCAAGGUUUUUAAAAGGAUAGAACACAGGCAAAUGCAAAAAGAUUCUAAUGACUAUCUUUGCUGCCUAGGUCUCUAUAUAAUGAUUUAUGUUUUAUGGGAUACUAAACUCCUGUUCUACAAAAACAAAUAUAUUCAGUUUAAGUGAGGUUUUAGUCUGAUCUAAG